rnacentral:rRNA from 1 species
GACGGAAGGUGCAAGCGUUGCUCGGAAUCACUGGGCGUAAAGCGCACGUAGGCGGACUCUUAAGUCGGUGGUGAAAUCCUGGAGCUCAACUCCAGAACUGCCUUCGAUACUGAGAGUCUCGAGUCCGGGAGAGGUGAGUGGAACUGCGAGUGUAGAGGUGAAAUUCGUAGAUAUUCGCAAGAACACCAGUGGCGAAGGCGGCUCACUGGCCCGGUACUGACGCUGAGGUGCGAAAGCGUGGGGAGCAAACAGG